rnacentral:lncRNA from 1 species
AAAAUUUUUAUUUUAUUAUUGUUCUUACGUCUCUUCUGAAAAAAAAAUCCACAUAUUCUCUGAAACUACAAGUCCAAUCGACCUGAAAAUUUGCAGUCAGCAGGGCAUACAUGUACUGAAGGUUCAUAAAAAAACUUUUUGCAGAUAUCUCUCAAGACUUUUCCUAGAAAAAAGAAAUGGCAAUGCAGUAAAAAUCGCUUGCUAGGUCCGUCAAUCUCAGUAAAAACCUACAAUAAAAUGUCCGCUCCGAGAUUGAAAUACUAAUCUGUGUUACAAACAGGUGCUGAAAAAUGGACAUUAUCAAAAAAUAAUCAUUAAAUGUGUUUUAAAGUUACACCGGAUCGAUUAAAUCCAAAACAUGCACUGCUGGUGAACUGUGAUCAAAAUGUCAAUUUCCUACAAUGACAAAAGAAAUUACAUUGUGUACAUUCCAUCUCUAUACAUGUUGUCUGUUCAACGUCCCGACCUAAAAAGAAAUAAAAAGACUAAGUUUUUCUUAAUAUAAACCCGCGUCACGUGAUGUCUCCUCAAUCUUGCGCGCGCGCUGUAUCUAAAAUAAAAGAAAAACUUUCCAAACUAAACAUGAAACUUCUCCGGUAACAUAAUAAUAUAGACCCCA